CUGGUCUUGACAUCCAUAGAACACUUAGAGAUAGAGUGGUGCCUUCGGGAGCUAUGAGACAGGUGCUGCAUGGCUGUCGUCAGCUCGUGUUGUGAAAUGUUGGGUUAAGUCCCGCAACGAGCGCAACCCUUAUCCUUUGUUGCCAGCACGUAGAGGUGGGAACUCAAAGGAGACUGCCGUUGAUAAAGCGGAGGAAGGUGGGGACGACGUCAAGUCAUCAUGGCCCUUACGACCAGGGCUACACACGUGCUACAAUGGCGUAUACAAAGGGAGGCGACCUCGCGAGAGCAAGCGGACCUCAUAAAGUACGUCUAAGUCCGGAUUGGAGUCUGCAACUCGACUCCAUGAAGUCGGAAUCGCUAGUAAUCGUGAAUCAGAAUGUCACGGUGAAUACGUUCCCGGGCCUUGUACACACCGCCCGUCACACCAUGGGAGUGGGUUGCACCAGAAGUAGAUAGCUUAACCGCAAGGGGGGCGUUUACCACGGUGUGGUCCAUGACUGGGGUGAAGUCGUAACAAGGUAACCAAGGGCGAAUUCCAG
rnacentral:rRNA from 1 species